rnacentral:rRNA from 1 species
UGGGGAAUAUUGGACAAUGCGGGAAACCGUGAUCCAGCAAUGCCGCGUGAGUGAUGAAGGCCUUAGGGUUGUAAAGCUCUUUUACCAGGGAUGAUAAUGACAGUACCUGGAGAAUAAGCUCCGGCUAACUUCGUGCCAGCAGCCGCGGUAAUACGGAGGGAGCUAGCGUUGUUCGGAAUUACUGGGCGUAAAGCGCGCGUAGGCGGCUAUCCAAGUCAGGGGUGAAAUCCCGGGGCUCAACCCCGGAACUGCCCUUGAAACUAGGUAGCUAGAAUACUGGAGAGGUGAGUGGAAUUCCGAGUGUAGAGGUGAAAUUCGUAGAUAUCGGGAGGAACAUCAGUGGCGAAGGCGGCCACCUGGACAUUCACUGACGCUGAGACGCGAAAGCGUGGGGAGCAAACAGGAUUAGAUAC